rnacentral:rRNA from 1 species
UCGAUGGAGAGUUUGAUCCUGGCUCAGGACGAACGCUGGCGGCGUGCUUAACACAUGCAAGUCGAGCGGGGUCCAACCGGUGGCAACACCGGGGAAGACCUAGCGGCGAACGGGUGAGUAACACGUGAGCAACCUGUCCCGAAGUUCGGGAUAACACCGGGAAACCGGUGCUAAUACCGGAUCGCCUCAACAGGCCGCAUGACCUGAUGAGGAAAGAAUUUCGCUUCGGGAGGGGCUCGCGGGCUAUCAGCUUGUUGGUGGGGUAACGGCCUACCAAGGCGACGACGGCUAGCUGGUCUGAGAGGACGACCAGCCACACUGGGACUGAGACACGGCCCAGACUCCUACGGGAGGCAGCAGUGGGGAAUCUUGCGCAAUGGGCGAAAGCCUGACGCAGCAACGCCGCGUGGGGGAUGAAGGCCUUCGGGUUGUAAACCCCUUUCAGCAGGGACGAAAUUGACGGUACCUGCAGAAGAAGCCCCGGCCAACUACGUGCCAGCAGCCGCGGUAAUACGUAGGGGGCGAGCGUUGUCCGGAUUCAUUGGGCGUAAAGAGCUCGUAGGCGGCUUGGCAAGUCAGGUGUGAAAUCUCUGGGCUCAACUCAGAGAGGCCACCUGAUACUGCUAUGGCUAGAGUCCGGUAGGGGACCAUGGAAUUCCUGGUGUAGCGGUGAAAUGCGCAGAUAUCAGGAGGAACACCGGUGGCGAAGGCGGUGGUCUGGGCCGGUACUGACGCUGAGGAGCGAAAGCGUGGGGAGCGAACAGGAUUAGAUACCCUGGUAGUCCACGCCGUAAACGUUGGGCACUAGGUGUGGGNNNNNNNNNNAUGUUGCUUAAUUCGAUGCAACGCGAAGAACCUUACCUGGGUUGAACUACGCAGGAAAAGCCGCAGAGAUGCGGUGUCCGCAAGGGCCUGCGAUAGGUGGUGCAUGGCUGUCGUCAGCUCGUGUCGUGAGAUGUUGGGUUAAGUCCCGCAACGAGCGCAACCCUUGUCCUAUGUUGCCAGCGGGUUAUGCCGGGGACUCGUAGGAGACUGCCGGGGUCAACUCGGAGGAAGGUGGGGAUGACGUCAAGUCAUCAUGCCCCUUACGUCUUGGGCUGCAAACAUGCUACAAUGGCUGGUACAAAGGGCUGCGAACUCGCGAGAGUGAGCGAAUCCCAUAAAGCCAGUCUCAGUUCGGAUCGUAGUCUGCAACUCGACUGCGUGAAGUCGGAGUCGCUAGUAAUCGCAGAUCAGCAUUGCUGCGGUGAAUACGUUCCCGGGCCUUGUACACACCGCCCGUCACACCACGAAAGUCGGCAACACCCGAAGCCGGUGGCCUAACCCGUAAGGGAGGGAGCCGUCGAAGGUGGGGUUGGUGAUUGGGGUGAAGUCGUAACAAGGUAGCCGUACCGGAAGGUGCGGCUGGAUCACCUCCUUU